UCGGGGUACACGAGUGGCGAACGGGUGAGUAACACGUGGGUGAUCUGCCCUGCACUUCGGGAUAAGCCCGGGAAACUGGGUCUAAUACCGGAUAGGACUGCGCGGUGCAUGCCGUGUGGUGGAAAGAUUUAUCGGUGCAGGAUGGGCCCGCGGCCUAUCAGCUUGUUGGUGGGGUAAUGGCCUACCAAGGCGACGACGGGUAGCCGGCCUGAGAGGGCGACCGGCCACACUGGGACUGAGACACGGCCCAGACUCCUACGGGAGGCAGCAGUGGGGAAUAUUGCACAAUGGGCGCAAGCCUGAUGCAGCGACGCCGCGUGAGGGAUGACGGCCUUCGGGUUGUAAACCUCUUUCAGCAGGGACGAAGCGUGAGUGACGGUACCUGCAGAAGAAGCACCGGCCAACUACGUGCCAGCAGCCGCGGUAAUACGUAGGGUGCAAGCGUUGUCCGGAAUUACUGGGCGUAAAGAGCUCGUAGGCGGUUUGUCGCGUCGUCUGUGAAAACCAGCAGCUCAACUGUUGGCUUGCAGGCGAUACGGGCAGACUUGAGUAUUUCAGGGGAGACUGGAAUUCCUGGUGUAGCGGUGAAAUGCGCAGAUAUCAGGAGGAACACCGGUGGCGAAGGCGGGUCUCUGGGAAAUAACUGACGCUGAGGAGCGAAAGCGUGGGUAGCGAACAGGAUUAGAUACCCUGGUAGUCCACGCCGUAAACGGUGGGCGCUAG
rnacentral:rRNA from 1 species